GCUUCUUUAUAAGAACAACUCACCAGGAUUAUCUGAAAUCAUAUAACAAAGUAUCUUCAACUUGGCAAUGGAGGAACAAAGAUGAGGUGGGCCAAAAAAAGAGAAUUUACUACCACUCAGGAUUGAGUGACUCUACUGAGGAUGUUGUGAGCUACUGAAUGGACAAAACCUGCAUGGAAUUAAAGGCCAAGCAUCCCAAAUUUCCUCAAACACUGCGGAGAAACGUGUAUCCAAGGAGUAAGAGACUUAAGACAGAAUGAGUUGGGGUCUUUCCCUGAAGAAAUGAGGGAGAUUCUUUGAAUGAAACUAGAUUUCCCAAAACAUUGUAAGUAAGAGUGAAUGGAAUAAAAUCUGGAUUUAUUUUCUUUCUUUUUCCUAAUUAUUUUCCUUUGCAUUCAUGUGUAUUCAUACUUAAUAC
rnacentral:lncRNA from 1 species